UUAGAGGCGCACACUCGCACAACAUUUCAACUUUUAAAAAAUCGUCUACCUCGAGUUAAUACUAAAAAAGUGUUUUCCCUACCCUAUGACAUGUGCCUGCAUUUUACCAACUUUCACCAAAAGGACACAAUUACUAAAAAAAAGAAAAGAUGCGUAUUGUCUAGAAUUGAAAGACGAAUCCAACGCGCUAUAGCUCGCCCGGAUCGCUGCACCAUAGUAUUGAUUUUCCCCAAAAUUGGUUCAAGUUUUGGCGAUAUCACUCUUAAGAACGCAAAAAUUCUACUCUAC